GGAACCAAGAACCACAACAUUCUUUUCCUUUCUGAGGUCGUAGCCGCUGUGAGUCUUAGCUUCUCUCUGCAUCUGUGAGGUCAUCUCCCUUUCUGUAGAGCAUAUGAUCUUUACUGAUGCACCUGCAUCUGGCUCAGACUUAGUCACCCAGCCCUGAAAUUAUAUCAUAUCACAGGUCAUUCUCUGAGUCUCUUAAUGUGAGGCCUUGAGAGAAAAAUCAACAUGCCUUCUGUUGGAUGAAGACCAAUCAGCAAGAUGGUGGUGAUUGUGGUACAGGUCUGUAACAAUGCAAAAGUCAGAACUGGUUGAAAUGUAAAAUUCAGUCCCCUUUUUAUAGAGUCGUUGCAAGGAUCAAGUGAGUUGAAAUCCGUAAGGUGCUUGGGAGAAUGCCUGGCGCCUGGAAGCACUGUAUAUUCCAAAAAAGGAGAUAUAAACAUGACCAUAAAAGACAUGAAAAGAUGUUUAACCCCAUUAGUCAUCGUGGAAAUGCAAAUGAAAACCACCAUACAGACACUAGAGUGGUUUAAAUUUGAAUGACUUCCAACACCAAAUGCCAGACAGGACAUAGAGCAACUGGAUGUCUCAUGCUCACAGGCAGAAGGGAAAACUACUGUGUGUGACAGGAAGAUGGACUUACCCAACCUUCAGCAUUCUCAAUCUCUUGUCUAUUAACAUGUGUUUGAAACAUUAUGCAUUCAAAGCAAACAUCUGGGAGGAAGAUGGGAGAAGCCUUCUUGCCCCUGUUCUACAGAAGUAAUUGAAGUUCAUGACAUUCAAGCUCAUUCACCAGUAAAUGAAUUUGGGUCAUGCUUUAUGUCUGUUGUAAAUACAGUGAAAAUUUGCCUCUGUUCCUGAA
rnacentral:lncRNA from 1 species